AGAGUUUGAUCCUGGCUCAGAUUGAACGCUGGCGGCAUGCCUUACACAUGCAAGUCGAACGGCAGCACAGGAGCAAUCCUGGUGGCGAGUGGCGAACGGGUGAGUAAUAUAUCGGAACGUGCCCAGUCGUGGGGGAUAACGCAGCGAAAGCUGUGCUAAUACCGCAUACGAUCUCUGGAUGAAAGCGGGGGACUCGCAAGGGCCUCGCGCGAUUGGAGCGGCCGAUAUCAGAUUAGCUAGUUGGUGGGGUAAAAGCCCACCAAGGCGACGAUCUGUAGCUGGUCUGAGAGGACGACCAGCCACACUGGAACUGAGACACGGUCCAGACUCCUACGGGAGGCAGCAGUGGGGAAUU
rnacentral:rRNA from 1 species